UAUUCAUAAACGCGUAUUUUGUCAACGUAUUAUUUUGGAAAAUAUUAUGUCAAGAGAAAAUAUAAUAUUUUUGAGAAAAAUAUUUUUAUUUUGGAAUUAGAAGUAAAUAUAUAUUAAGUAAGACUUAAUAAUAUAUUCCGAGCGCACAUGUGUUAAAUUCCCCAUCCUUGGGAAGGAAAAUAAAUUACCAAGUACAUACAAGGAACGGUUGUCUAACUGUUUCCCCAAAAUUGUAAACUAUAAAGCUAAGGCACGGCCAUCCGUCUAAUAGAAUUAGCACAUGUAGGUCGUUGCACAGCUAUCGGAUAUUUGGAGUACUUGGUAUAGCGACGCACUGACUGUGAGUUCAUGUCCCCCCUUUUCUCUUAACUCUUUUCAGUUUUAUAAACUGCGGGGGUGAAAUACAUGUUACUAUGAUUAUGAAUACUUGAUACAUGGUAUGGUUAGCGUAAGGAGGGUUAUUACUUAGAUCAUGUGAGUGGGUAGGCGGGAACUGGAGGCCAUUAAUCCUCAUGGUAGGACCGAGGGACGUAAGCGGUAGAUCUAUCUGGGUGUAGCGAGCCCAAUCCCAGGUCCAGCAUAACGGACCUCGGGGUGACUUUGUGCCCGACGCAAAAUCCGCUAGGUUUGAGUCUUCCUACUUGCACUUCACACAUAUCAAUGGACUUGCAAACCAUUGGUGAUCUCUUUUUCCUUAUUUGCUACAUACCAGGAUUUUUGAUAAAGAUAAAGGGAAUUAAAGAUCUGGCACGGUAUGGCAUGUUUUCCGCUGCAUAAGUCACCAGGGUCAUCCAGGGUUCGGGGAAUGUGACUCUUUCCUGGACAAGUCACAGUCCUUGAAUCAUGUUUAUGUUAUGUUUGGGUCUGUAAUGUUUAGACAAGUUUAUGGUUGUUGGGUGUUAACCCGUUAAGACAAUGUUUUACUAUUUUACUUUUAAUGGAUGAUCUUGCAUAUUUUUAAUUCAUAUAGCUUGUUAU
rnacentral:lncRNA from 1 species